GAUGAACGCUAGCUACAGGCUUAACACAUGCAAGUCGCAGGGUAACAUGAGGAAAGCUUGCUUUCCUUGAUGACGACUGGCGCACGGGUGAGUAACGCGUAUCCAACCUUCCCAUAACUACGGGAUAACCCGUUGAAAGACGGCCUAAUACCGUAUGAUAUCGUUUGCUGACAUCAAAUAACGAUUAAAGGUUUAGCGGUUAUGGAUGGGGAUGCGUCUGAUUAGCUUGUUGGCGGGGUAACGGCCCACCAAGGCGACGAUCAGUAGGGGUUGUGAGAGGAAGGUCCCCCACAGUGGGACUGGGACACGGUCCACACUCCUACGGGAGGCAGCAGUGAGGAAUAUUGGUCAAUGGGCGAGAGCCUGAACCAGCCAAGUAGCGUGCAGGACGACGGCCCUAUGGGUUGUAAACUGCUUUUAUGUGGGGAUAAAGUGCGUGACGUGUCAUGCAUUGCAGGUACCACAUGAAUAAGGACCGGCUAAUUCCGUG
rnacentral:rRNA from 1 species